rnacentral:rRNA from 1 species
UCUCCUGACAAUCCUAGAGAUAGGACGUUCCCCUUCGGGGGACAGGAUGACAGGUGGUGCAUGGUUGUCGUCAGCUCGUGUCGUGAGAUGGUUGGGUUAAGUCCCGCAACGAGCGCAACCCUUGAUCUUAGUUGCCAGCAUUUAGUGGGCACUCUAAGGUGACUGCCGGUGACAAACCGGAGGAAGGUGGGGAUGACGUCAAAUCAUCAUGCCCCUUAUGACCUGGGCUACACACGUGCUACAAUGGAUGGUACAAAGGGCAGCAAAACCGCGAGGUCGAGCCAAUCCCAUAAAACCAUUCUCAGUUCGGAUUGUAGGCUGCAACUCGCCUACAUGAAGCUGGAAUCGCUAGUAAUCGCGGAUCAGCAUGCCGCGGUCGAAUACGUUCCCGGGCCUUGUACACACCGCCCGUCACACCACGAGAGUUUGUAACACCCGAAGUCGGUGGGGUAACCCUUCUGGGAGCCAGCCGCCUAAGGUGGGAUAGAUGAUUGGGGUGAAGUCGUAACAAGGUAAGCGUAGAUGA